CCUAAUACAUGCAAGUCGAACGAGUUCUCGUUGAUGAUCGGUGCUUGCACCGAGAUUCAACAUGGAACGAGUGGCGGACGGGUGAGUAACACGUGGGUAACCUGCCCUUAAGUGGGGGAUAACAUUUGGAAACAGAUGCUAAUACCGCAUAGAUCCAAGAACCGCAUGGUUCUUGGCUGAAAGAUGGCGUAAGCUAUCGCUUUUGGAUGGACCCGCGGCGUAUUAGCUAGUUGGUGAGGUAAUGGCUCACCAAGGCGAUGAUACGUAGCCGAACUGAGAGGUUGAUCGGCCACAUUGGGACUGAGACACGGCCCAAACUCCUACGGGAGGCAGCAGUAGGGAAUCUUCCACAAUGGACGCAAGUCUGAUGGAGCAACGCCGCGUGAGUGAAGAAGGCUUUCGGGUCGUAAAACUCUGUUGUUGGAGAAGAAUGGUCGGCAGAGUAACUGUUGUCGGCGUGACGGUAUCCAACCAGAAAGCCACGGCUAACUACGUGCCAGCAGCCGCGGUAAUACGUAGGUGGCAAGCGUUAUCCGGAUUUAUUGGGCGUAAAGCGAGCGCAGGCGGUUUUUUAAGUCUGAUGUGAAAGCCCUCGGCUUAACCGAGGAAGCGCAUCGGAAACUGGGAAACUUGAGUGCAGAAGAGGACAGUGGAACUCCAUGUGUAGCGGUGAAAUGCGUAGAUAUAUGGAAGAACACCAGUGGCGAAGGCGGCUGUCUGGUCUGUAACUGACGCUGAGGCUCGAAAGCAUGGGUAGCGAACAGGAUUAGAUACCCUGGUAGUCCAUGCCGUAAACGAUGAAUGCUAGGUGUUGGAGGGUUUCCGCCCUUCAGUGCCGCAGCUAACGCAUUAAGCAUUCCGCCUGGGGAGUACGACCGCAAGGUUGAAACUCAAAGGAAUUGACGGGGGCCCGCACAAGCGGUGGAGCAUGUGGUUUAAUUCGAAGCAACGCGAAGAACCUUACCAGGUCUUGACAUCUUUUGAUCACCUGAGAGAUCAGGUUUCCCCUUCGGGGGCAAAAUGACAGGUGGUGCAUGGUUGUCGUCAGCUCGUGUCGUGAGAUGUUGGGUUAAGUCCCGCAACGAGCGCAACCCUUAUGACUAGUUGCCAGCAUUUAGUUGGGCACUCUAGUAAGACUGCCGGUGACAAACCGGAGGAAGGUGGGGAUGACGUCAAAUCAUCAUGCCCCUUAUGACCUGGGCUACACACGUGCUACAAUGGAUGGUACAACGAGUUGCGAGACCGCGAGGUCAAGCUAAUCUCUUAAAGCCAUUCUCAGUUCGGACUGUAGGCUGCAACUCGCCUACACGAAGUCGGAAUCGCUAGUAAUCGCGGAUCAGCACGCCGCGGUGAAUACGUUCCCGGGCCUUGUACACACCGCCCGUCACACCAUGAGAGUUUGUAACACCCGAAGCCGGUGGCGUAACCCUUUUAGGGAGCGAGCCGUCUAAGGUGGACAAAUAGUUG
rnacentral:rRNA from 1 species